AAAGAAAUAAUGAGGGGAAAAAAAUAUGGAUUUAAGAAACUUUUAUAAAUCACUAGAAAAAUUGAAAACGCACAUUAUAUGUUCGGCACGUAUAAAAUAUCAUGGCGGGUUUUGGAAGACUAGUUUCACCUGGUUCUUGUACUAAUCUAUUAAAUUCCAGAUGUUUAUCGAUGAAUUCUUAUCAAUUUAUAUCAUCUAAAACAAAAAAGUUUGUAGAAGACAGUCUUUUUCCGAACAAACCAAAAAGACCAUUAACACCAUUCUUUAGAUAUAUGAAAGAGAUAAGACCGAGAAUUGUUAGUGAAUAUCCAGGACAUAAAUCUAAUGAGAUUGUAAAACUUAUAUCUCAAAGAUGGGCUUCAGAAGAUCCAGGGUAUAAAUUUAAAUUAAAUAAAGAAUAUGAUAUAGAAUACAAAGAAUAUAUGAACAAAAUAGUAGAAUAUGAAAAAACAAUAACUCCUGAGCAAAGGGAACAUUAUAUAAUGACAAAAAAAAGUUUAAACAAAAAGAAAGACAAACAAGCUACUCAAUUACCUGGAAAACCAAAGAAACCACCAUCUGCUUUUAUACUUUAUAUGCUUCAUGUUAAAAGUACACAACAAUCUACCGUUAACAAUAGGGAAUUCCUAAAAAUGCUGAGUGUUCAAUGGAAAACUUUGAAUGAACAAGAUAAAAAACAAUUUGUAGAUCAAGCAGCGACAUUAAUGGAGCAAUAUAAUAAAGAUAAAAUAGAAUGGGAGCAAAAGAUGAUGAAGGAAACAUAUAAAAAUAUGUCUUCGUUUCCACAGACAUUCGAAAAUCCAAGUGAAAGAGAUGGAAUUAAGUAGGGAAUAAUGUGCCCCACCCUAUCUAACGAAAAAGUUGUUAGCAUCAUAUUAAUUCCUUCAAAAGUAUUUAAUAAUAACAUCGUGGGUCGGGGCACAGAGGUUCCUGAUUCUUUGACAAAUAUCUCGACUUAUAUUACUGGACGAAAUUCAAUAAUUUAUGAACAUCUUUCAAAUCUUUCUGGGCUUCGUAAUUUGUCUUCUACUUCGACUUAUAUGAUUAAAUUGAAAUUUAUUACAAACGAUUUAACGAAGCAUGCCAAUAAAAAGAAUUUAUUAAAAAUAGAUAAAUGUGAAAAUGCUGAUCUGGUAGAUUACCUACCAAUCAAUAAUAAUAAGAUACUAUCUGAUCCCGAUAUAAUUAUGAACAAUAUCAAAAUACAUUUAAAAUCUGAAGAACGAAAUGAAAAAUUCAAAUUUGAUAUGAAGAAACUAAACAAUUUUAUCAAAACUUGGGAUACAGUGAAGAAUUUUUUUAGACAUAUAUAAAAAUGGACAUACACAGAGACUGCAAAUGAUAAUAUUUGUCCAUGUGCAAAUAUAUCAAAUGAAGAUGCUAGUGCAGAAAAACACUGGGUAUAUUUGUAAUACAUAUAAAAUCGAGUAUAUGAUGUUUAUAAUAUAUACAUAAUAUACAAUCAUCUUAUUUUGAAAUAUGUGUCAGGAUAAGAAAUGUAUUGUUUAUGUAUUCAAUAUAUUAUUAUAACGAUUAUUUUGAAAUUUAGCAGAAAUUUAAUUUUUUAUAAGAUAAAAUUUCGUUGUCUUAAUUUUUUCAAUGCUUGAUAUAUUCAAUUAGACAUGAUAAAAAAAUAUUGGAAAUAUUUCUAACAACCAUUUACAUAAAUUAAUCAUAAACUUAUGUAAAAUAUAGUUGAUAGAAAAUAAAAAUGUUUUGUCA